AUUUGCAGUUAUCUGUCAUCAUUGUUUCUGGAUGCCAUAUUUUAUGUGCUAGCUUUAACUUCAUCCCUCUUCCAUGCAGAUGUCUGUACGCCAAGCACAAGAUCAACUCCAAUCGUCAUGUUUGGAGCAAAAUUCUUAAUGAAGUCUACAAUGCUUAAGGAGGUUUUCUCCUAUGAAUAUUCAAGUGCUGGGAGAACUAAUGCCAACAGUAGAAAUACAACCAGGUGGGCAACACGCAAUGCCCAAAUGCCACAACCAUAUCUGAACCCAGGACAAAGUGGAGAGACUCAUUCUGUGUCUGGACAUUGUAAGAAGAGGACACUCAAAAUACAAGCAGGUCUGGCUGAAUCUGGAGUCAGCCCAUCAAGUAAAUUAAUGAGCAGCUUUAGUGAGGGCUUCUGGACCUACUGCCUCACACAUUUGGACAACAGAGCUCCAGCAGUGACAGCCAGAAGCCCAGGAGGCCAGAGUGACGGUGGAGGUGGCAAGAGAAGAAAAGGCCCUGAGGGAGACAUCCUGCAGAGUUUAUGAUUUGGUGAGUUUUCUGUAAAAUGAGAAUAGGUAAGGAGAAGAGAACGUUUGAUGUACUUUCAUCCCUCAGUCCCCAUUUGGGAGAAGCCACACACGUCAUGGGUGGAAUCAUGAAGUCUUUAUUGGACUAAAGGGGCCUGAAAAUUCAGCUGGGAACAAUUUUCUCCUGAAUGGGGAGCCAGACCAGAUGCUGUUUAUCCUUCUCAUUUCUCUGAGUCUACUUCUUUCUCCAAAGACCCAAGGGGAAAAACACAAAUAGGUGGUAAAUGACCGCUUUCUCUGGGAAUAAUUCAGAGUUUGGCCACCAUUG
rnacentral:lncRNA from 1 species